UCUCUCAAACAAACAAACAAAUAUAUCAAAAUAUGCCCACAAUGUAUCCCUGUUUCUCUCACUCUCUCCAUCUGUUUCUGUUUCUCUCUAUUAUUCACACAAGCACAAACCCUAGACCACCAUUCAAAACCACCACCACCAAAAAUGUCUCACGCCAUGGUGGCGUCGCCCUAUUUCCCCACCGUGAGGUCAGCGGCGAACUCACCAAGGCAGAGAGCAAACACGAAGAAGGUGACUAACACGAAACGAAACAGGAGCAGCGCUGGAGCAGCAGUGGGGUUCGGUGGAGAGAUGAAGGAAGUUCGGUAGCAGUGCGUGUAGCCGCCUACACUCUACCAUUGCUAAUCCUCUCGAUUUCAGACCUCUUUCAUCAGGGGGGGAAAAGCACAUUGGAAAACUGCCAAGUUUUACAGGUUUGGCUUUUAUUUCCUUGUAUUAUUAUUGCAUUUGUGUGGUAUCAGGUUUUGUUGUGUUUCUUCAUAGCAUGUUUUCUGUUAUACAAGGCUGACGCAUUUUUUUUUCCCCUUCCUGGAAGUAAUGCUAUCAAUAUAUUAAUGCAGUUCACUUCACUGAAGUGGUACAGUACCCAAAGUCACUCUCUUGUAACGGUUCAAUUCAUUGUGCAUUUAGAAUUUGGGGAAGGUUAGCUAUAUGACAA